rnacentral:rRNA from 1 species
UUCUUACAGAAAUAAUUGUAAGUAAAAUCUGCUCAAUGAAUAUAAAUAGCCGCAAAAUUAUUUGUGCUAAGGUAGCAUAAUCACUCGUCUUUUAAUUAAAGACUAGAAUGAAAGAUUUAACAUUUCAAUAAUCUUUUUAUAUUUCACACACAAAACUAUUUUAAAUGUAAAAAAACAUUUAUUAUUAAGAAAGACGACAAGACCCUGUCGAACUUCAACUAAAGUUAAGCUGGGGCAGCUAAUUAAUUAAAAUUUUAAUUAAUUUCCUUUAAAAAUAAAUUAGAUCCAGUUAAACUGAUCAUUUGAUCAAGUUACCGCAGGGAUAACAGCGUUAUCAUUCUAAAAAGCUCUUAUUAAAAGAAUACGAUUGCGACCUCGAUGUUGAAUAAUUUAAUUACAUUACGCAGCAGUAAUGAAAAUUAGUCUGUUCGACUAUUAAAAAAUUACA